GUGGAAGUGAGAAAUAGAUUUAAGGGCCUAGAUCUGAUAGAUGGAGUGCCUGAUGAACUAUGGAAUGAGGUUCGUGACACUGUACAGGAGACAGGGAUCAAGACCAUCCCCAUGGAAAAGAAAUGCAAAAAAGCAAAAUGGCUGUCUGGGGAGGCCUUACAAAUAGCUGUGAAGAGAAGAGAAGUGAAAAGCAAAGGAGAAAAGGAAAGAUAUAAACAUCUGAAUGCAGAGUUCCAAAGAAUAGCAAGAAGAGAUAAGAAAGCCUUCUUCAGCAAUCAAUGCAAAGAAAUAGAGGAAAACAACAGAAUGGGAAAGACUAGAGAUCUCUUCAAGAAAAUCAGAGAUACCAAAGGAAUAUUUCAUACAAAGAUGAGCUCGAUAAAGGACAGAAAUGGUAUGGAUCUAACAGAAGCAGAAGAUAUUAAGAAGAGAUGGCAAGAAUACACAGAAGAACUGUACAAAAAAGAUCUUCACGACCCAGAUAAUCAUGAUGGUGUGAUCACUGACCUAGAGCCAGACAUCCUGGAAUGUGAAGUCAAGUGGGCCUUAGAAAGCAUCACUAGGAACAAAGCUAGUGGAGGUGAUGGAAUUCCAGUUGAGCUAUUUCAAAUCCUGAAAGAUGAUGCUGUGAAAGUGCUGCACUCAAUAUGCCAGCAAAUUUGGAAAACUCAGCAGUGGCCACAGGACUGGAAAAAGUCAGUUUUCAUUCCAAUCCCAAAGAAAGGCAAUGCCAAAGAAUGCUCAAAUUACUGCACAAUUGCACUCAUCUCACACACUAGUAAAGUAAUGCUCAAAAUUCUCCAAGCCAGGCUUCAGCAGUAUGUGAACCGUGAACUUCCUGAUGUUCAAGCUGGUUUUAGAAAAGGCAGAGGAACCAGAGAUCAAAUUGCCAACAUCCGCUGGAUCAUGGAAAAGCAAGAGAGUUCCAGAAAAACAUCUAUUUCUGCUUUAUUGACUAUGCCAAAGCCUUUGACUGUGUGGAUCACAAUCAACUGUGGAAAAUUUUGAAAGAGAUGGGAAUACCAGACCACCUGAUCUGCCUCUUGAGAAAUUUGUAUGCAGGUCAGGAAGCAACAGUUAGAACUGGACAUGGAACAACAGACUGG
rnacentral:lncRNA from 1 species